GAAAGGAAGGAAGAGAUGUGCUUUCAUUUCACCCUCUGUUCCUGUUGCAGGGGUCAGAAACACAUAGAAGCCUGUGUCUCAGGAGACUUGUGAAGUCCUCGAAGAUCACAGGAGGGGCCCAGAGCGAAGUUGCAGCUCGUGGUGACCUCCCGAGGCCUGGGAGGGGCUCCAGGGUAGCUGCUCUUUCUGAAGAUGAAGGGAAACCACAGACUCAUGUAGCACAUGAAUCGCUCUGCUUCUCUUUCUCAUCAAGGCCAUCAUAUAUUUGCUCAUCAUAAUGAUGUCUACCCACCUGAUGCUGUGAGGACCCAGGCCGGCCUGUUGCUGUCUUCAGUCAGCCUGGGCUGUGAGGACCCAGGUGGGCCUGUGCCUGUCUUUCACCUGCCUGAGACAUGAGUUCCAUGGUGCCUGUGGAUGCCACAAGAGGGAACUGAGUCCACAGGGAAGUGUAAACUUCUCUCUGUAACUGAAGGAGACCAUUAUAGAAAACCACAGUCAAUGAAAAUGUAGUGCUGUGGAGUUGCUGUAAGUCGGAGACUUACAACAUACCCCUGCACCUAAAGCUCAGGGAACAUCGUGACAUGGUGGUAGGAAGAUUGUAGGAGUCGGAGGAUCGGGGGUUUGCGAGAGAUUGUGUCCCCUGGUGCUGUCAGAAGCUACACCUGUAAAGUCCCACCAACAUGACUUCCUAACAAAGUCUGAACACCAAUCUGAACAAGGACAACACCCAUAGAUUUGCUGAAGUGGGUAGAGGAUUGAACACAAGGCCUCCACCCUACACAGAGAACUACAGCCAACCAAGGGAUGCCAAGAGCAGAAGAAGAAAUCUUCCCCAGGGAAGAGCACACCAACUGGUUAUCC